AUAAAACAGUUCGCUGCACCGAAGCCAUUAGUGAAUGCACCUACAAGAUAGGGACCCAGGGAAGGCUUUUGCAGUGAGGCAUACAUAUGAACAUUGUUCUACUGUCGGUACCAAAGAAUGAAGAAACGCAGGAGAAAGAGUGAAGCAGUGUAUGCCAUUGGCCAGCUGGGCAUCCAGCGAGGCUUUCAUGCCUGUGUUUGCAGGUUUCUGUGAAAGAGAAUCCUGCUGAGUGCUUUGCUAGCAUACUGUAAGCCAUUUCAAGAACUGCAGUGAUUCCGUAACCAUCUUGUUUUACCUGUUAGGAAUUGUUUACAGUUGUAGAUCUUUCUCUUCUGAUUGUAGUUUGCUCUGGCUGUGGAUUUUCUUCUGGAGACAAAUCCCUCAGGAGAAAACAUUCCUUUGAUAAGGUCAAGUAGAGGGCUUACUUAGAUAAUCUCUGCAUCAUUUUAUCAGUGCAGCGCCUGGCCCUUUGAAUCCAGGGACUUUUUUGCUUAUCUGUGGUGGGGGUUAUCAUGCAAAUUACGCUCUGACCUUUUUUAUUUAGCUCAUCAGCAGUCACUAGUGUUAGUGUGGUUUGUCUAUGGCACAAAACAGUUCUUCCGCUGUGGCCCAAGGAAGCCAAAAGCUUGGACACCCAUGGGUUAGGGUCUUCAGUGAGCCUUGGAUUUUGGAAAUCUUAGAGGCUCUGAAGUUAAAAAAAAAAUCUGGCCCAGCUUGCAGUGACCUCAGCCAAUUCACCAGCAAGCUUGACUGUCCCCCCGGUAAAUGAGACUGUCAGUAGCUACCUCUGUGGUCACUCUGGGCACCAGGCAUGGCACCUGGCACAUCGUGGCUAUUGCGAAAGCAUCGUGGCCGCUUCUCUCCCUAGCGUUAGGAGCUGGGUUUGGAGGAGGGAAUCUAGUGACACCAGAUGCACAGGGGAUCAGGGACACUUUGGAUCUUCCCUCAGCCUCUGUUUCUCACCUAGAAGCCACCAGGAACACACCGAUAGUCUAACCAAGUUGGGUUUAUUGGCUCAUUGCAGCAAGGGGAACACACACCAUGGGUAGAAGCCUGGGAAAAGACCUCAUGGGACUCAGCCUGGCAUUUGGUGAUGUGUGGGGGUUCACGGAGGUGAGACAUCACCCUGUAUUGGGUGCUGUCAGGAGGCAGGGUCAUUCUGCGAUGGCUUUCUGAACUCAUUCUUACCUAGAACACAGGAAGAAUGGAGACGACAUAGCAUGGGGUUCACUCAUGCUGUGGUCGCGACAGCUCUGUGUCGUGUGUUUAGGAUGAUUGCGGAGGGUCUGGUUUUCGGCUGGGUCCAUCGUGGUCAGACAAGGCGUUGGUGUUCCAGGAAGUUGUGUUCGCACAGCACGAGGACACUUGGCCUUGUGGGUGCCAAACCAGCUCUUGCUGAUACCAGGCUGGGCAGAAAUUGCCAGGAGAGGGCCUGGUCACCAGGACAGCUUUCCUCUUCUCAGACCCGCUUUGGGCUAAAGGCGGACCGCAAGAUACUGAUUCACAACACUCAGAACUUUGUUGUUGCCCAGAUGUCAUUCAUCAGGAGGUUGUCCAGAGAAUAUUGUACAUAGUGGGGCUGAGGUUGGACUCUCCUGAUGAGUGGUGACUCUUGACAUUUGCCAUGACAGUGGAAGUCAGGACUGUGUGGUUUCCUGUGACAACUCUGGGUAAUGGGUUUGCGUUUCAACUGGUUUCUGGGGCUCCCAGGGCAGAAAUUGUGUCGGGAGAGGUUGGGACCACCUUUUUUAUUUUGUUGUGACUCCUGGAUACAUGAAAAGGGGGUCAGUAUUCUCAGAGAAGCACAAUCCACUGGGCUGGGCGUUUACGUGCCUGGCACUGCCAGUUUGUGCUGAUGACACUGAAGACGUCUGUGUGGCAGGUGAGCCUAAGCCAGGGUCCCUUGUCGCUGGGCACAGCUGCACUGGGAAUCGAAGCAUCACAUCAGUCGGGACCAAGCGAGGUCUUUUGGCCCAAGGCAGGCAGCUCCCUCAAGUGGGGGGAAUGUCCCUUGCCAAGCAGGCUCAGCGGCCCUCAGGAGACAGGCCGAGCAGAGGGCGAGGACCCUUCCCAGUUGGUCGGUUGCAGGCGCUGGGCCUGCUGGGGAGCACUGCGGUCUCACGGUCGUCUCCUAGCUGCCUCUCACACCUGGGCAUUAACUCAGAGCUGAUUCUAGGUUCCCUAGGUUUGUGCCAGGCCUCUCCGCCGGGAAGUCACGCUUUUCUCAUCAUAUUAAAUCAGUAUCUUGUGGGGGACACUUUGAAACUAUGUAUAUAUCCUGUUCUCCCUCAAAAUGGUAUUAAUAUUGUCAGCAUUUAUUGAUGAUUCUCAUCUGACUAAGUAGUGAACUGUAAUGGUUGCCACAGGAUGAUUUUGGUUUUUAUUUCAUCACUGAUGUGUUUUGGCAUUUCGUUGUGAAGAAGAGCUUUCCUUUCUCCCCCACAUAGAUUUUUCUCCCUUAUUUACUUCAUCUGCCUCUGUUGAAGCUUGGAGCCCACCCCCGGGGUCCAUCCCAGCCCGGCUGUCCUUCCACAGGGUCCCCCUGACCUCCGUCCCCCGUGUGUUCUUCCUGGCUCCCUCCUGACCCCGGGACUGUCUCCUGGGCCCUCUGUGCCCCAGCGCCGCCUGGCUCAACAGCUCCUGUGUGGCCUGCAUUGUGAUAUUUCUUUCCUGCACU